rnacentral:sRNA from 1 species
ACCAUGGCAACGGGCAGUUCACCGAGAAGCGGGUGUAUCUCAACAGCAAACUGCCUAGUUGGGCUAGAGCUGUUGUCCCCAAAAUAUUUUAUGUGACAGAGAAGGCUUGGAACUAUUAUCCCUACACAAUUACAGUGUUCCUUUCUGCCGAAAUUCUCCAUUCAUAUAGAAACCAAGUAUGAGGACAACAAAGGAAGCAAUGACACCAUUUUCGACAAUGAAGCCAAAGACCUGGAGAGAGAAGUUUGCUUUAUUGAUAUUGCCUGCGAUGAAAUUCCAGAGCGCUACUACAAAGAAUCUGAGGUAAGCGACAGUUGGGAUGAGAUGUGGAAGAUUCAUUCAUUCAUUCCACAACUAUUUCUUAAGUGCCUCCUAACUUGGGAGGAUGCCAUCUCUCGUUGUGUGGAUUCAAUUUGCUUUCAUGUCUUGCUGGUUCUUUUUGCAAGUCUCAAAAUUAAGUCCCUAACUCUUCAGGGACCAUC